GGAGAAAACAAAAUGGCUGUCCCAGCCAACCUGCUUCCCAGAACAGCUGUGUUCCCUCACUUAACAGUUUAAAUCUUUCCUACUUUAAGUGUGAAGAGACAACAUUUCAGGAGGAAGACAAAAUGGGAGGAGAGGAGGAAGUGGCAAGACUUGGGUUUCCAUACACCCAACGGUCUCAGAUCAGGAGAAAAUAGAAAGGAAACAGCCCAACCACAUUUAUACAGCACUCAGAGGGAAGUGGAUUCGUGGAAUGAGGUUCCAAAGGAUGAGGUCAGAGCAACUGUCUAAAAGCACAGGAACCAUAAAUCAUCAGCCCUGCCUCCUCCCUCAGUUGAUUAAAGGAGUGGACCCAGUUAAGGAAACAAUGUGCUAACUCUGUGAGAAUGAUAUGGGAAAGUACCAAGCCACAGGCAACAAUUUACGAUCAAAAGGGAUGGAGAUGCCGCACAGUGUUGGAGAUUACAGGGCAAUUAACCUCACCUGCUAUUCCACUUUGGCAAAAAACUGAAGAACGUCUCUAAAAAGAGACCUUAAGGCUAUGUAGAGUAAUCUUACAGCCUGUGCCAAUGUGUGGGGAAGACUUCCAGAAGAAAAACAGCCUGGGCUUUUUUUGAUCGACCAAUCAGGAUGACACUGGCUGCCCAAGGUCACCAAACAAAAAGCAACACAACAAACAACCCUUUCAGAGCACCACUUAUAUAUAGAGUUGCCAACCCUCCAGGAUUGGCCUGGAGCCUCCAGGGAUUGAAGACCAAUCUCCAGGAUACUGCUGUGUGCAACCCUGGAGAAAAAAAAUAUUGGGACAUUGAAAAAGGUAGUUUUUUUGUCAUUUUCUUUGAACAUUUCUCUUUAUCAGGUGUAAAAAUGUUGGAAAUGGAAAUAAAAGGCUGUUUAGCUGACAGUCAAGCAUCAUCUAAUUUGGAAUGAGUCUUUUUGCUUUCCAAUUGAUGUAGAAAGGCAGUACAUCAUAAGGAUGGAUGUGUUGGCUGACUCAUGGCUGGAGCGUGGGAGCAAGUCAUGUGAUGAAACCUCCAG